CGAAAGCCUGACGGAGCAAUACCGCGUGAGGGAGGAAGGCUCUUGGGUCGUAAACCUCUUUUCUCAAGGAAGAAGAAAGUGACGGUACUUGAGGAAUAAGCAUCGGCUAACUCCGUGCCAGCAGCCGCGGUAAUACGGAGGAUGCAAGCGUUAUCCGGAAUGAUUGGGCGUAAAGGGUCCGCAGGUGGAACUGAAAGUCUGCUGUUAAAGAGUCUGGCUCAACCAGAUAAAAGCAGUGGAAACUACAGAACUAGAGUACGGUCGGGGCAGAAGGAAUUCCUGGUGUAGCGGUGAAAUGCGUAGAUAUCAGGAAGAACACCGGUGGCGAAAGCGUUCUGCUAGUCCGAGACUGACACUGAGGGACGAAAGCUAGGGGAGCGAAUGGGAUUAGAUACCCCAGUAGUCCUAGCCGUAAACGAUGGAUACUAGGCGUGGCUUGUAUCGACCCGAGCCGUGCCGGAGCUAACGCGUUAAGUAUCCCGCCUGGGGAGUACGCACGCAAGUGUGAAACUCAAAGGAAUUGACGGGGGCCCGCACAAGCGGUGGAGUAUGUGGUUUAAUUCGAUGCAACGCGAAGAACCUUACCAAGACUUGACAUCCUGCGAAUCCUGCUGAAAGGUGGGAGUGCCUUCGGGAGCGCAGAGACAGGUGGUGCAUGGCUGUCGUCAGCUCGUGUCGUGAGAUGUUGGGUUAAGUCCCGCAACGAGCGCAACCCUCGUUUUUAGUUGCCAGCAUUAAGUUGGGCACUCUAGAGAGACUGCCGGUGACAAACCGGAGGAAGGUGAGGAUGACGUCAAGUCAGCAUGCCCCUUACGUCUUGGGCUACACACGUACUACAAUGCUACGGACAAAGGGCAGCAAGCUAGCGAUAGCAAGCAAAUCUCAUAAACCGUAGCUCAGUUCAGAUCGAAGGCUGCAACUCGCCUUCGUGAAGGAGGAAUCGCUAGUAAUUGCAGGUCAGCAUACUGCAGUGAAUUCGUUCCCGGGCCUUGUACACACCGCCCGUCACACCAUGGAAGUUGGUCACGCCCGAAGUCAUUACCCCAACCGAAAGGA
rnacentral:rRNA from 1 species